rnacentral:rRNA from 1 species
AUUGAACGCUGGCGGCAUGCUUUACACAUGCAAGUCGAACGGUAACAGGGUGCUUGCACCGCUGACGAGUGGCGAACGGGUGAGUAAUGCGUCGGAACGUGCCGAGUAGUGGGGGGUAACGCAUCGAAAGGUGUGCUAAUACCGCAUACGUACUGAGGUAGAAAGUGGGGGACCUUCGGGCCUCACGCUAUUCGAGCGGCCGACGUCUGAUUAGCUAGUUGGUGAGGUAAAGGCUCACCAAGGCGACGAUCAGUAGCGGGUCUGAGAGGAUGAUCCGCCACACUGGGACUGAGACACGGCCCAGACUCCUACGGGAGGCAGCAGUGGGGAAUUUUGGACAAUGGGCGCAAACCUGAUCCAGCCAUGCCGCGUGUCUGAAGAAGGCCUUCGGGUUGUAAAGGACUUUUGUCCGGGAGCAAAUGCCUGGUGUUAAUAGCACUGGGAGCUGAGAGUACCGGAAGAAUAAGCACCGGCUAACUACGUGCCAGCAGCCGCCGUAAAAC